ensembl:lncRNA
CGUGUGUUGGACGCCUCCAGCCCCUCCUGAAGCAGAUAGAAGGUUCUGGACUGUUUGGGAAUCGCAAACGUCACCCUCUUCUGCUGGAUCCUCCUGUAGACCUCUGUCUCCAGAGCAGGGUAUUUCCAUACUGCCGCCUCAGAGCUGUCAGGGACAUGGGCAGCUUAAUGGGGGGUGGAUUCACCUGGUGGACUGGCUUUGACUGCCUUUGAAGACCAUGACGUAUCUCUGGGGGAUCCCAAGAGUGGGGCUGAAAGCUAAACAGAGAUGGUCGGAGACCAGUGGUUGUCCUGUCCUGUCUCCCACUGUCUGGGGGGGGACGUCCCAUUGGUUGGGCUGUGAGAGGACGUGACUCGUCACUGGCUGGGGAGGAGCUCAUCAUGGUAUGGGGACUUCUCAUUGGUUGGGCUGUGUGAGGACGUGGUGGUUUCCUUUGGCCUCCUGUAUCAUGAGACUGAGCCCCAAGAUCCUAACAUCGAGUACCAGGA